GGGAAUCGAACAACAAAUCCAAUCCUCAUGGAUUUCACAACAUCUGCAUAACUUGCAUUUUCUAGCGGCCCUGGACUGUCCCAAGGCCGAGGAAUUCUAGCCAAGUACCCACAAGAAAGCUCGAGAUACUCCAUUGAAUAAGAUCCAUAACCAGUUAACACAUAAACAUAAGUAUGAUUUGUGCUAAGGCAAGCAACAGACAUGUACAUACCAUUGUCCUUUACUUCCCGAGAGCAUGUAAGAAAGCAAGCCUUAUUAUAUUAAAGGGGUUCCAAUUCGACUUCCAUGUGGUUCUGGUAUCUAAACGGAGGCCGAUUCCACCGAGGUAGAGGGCAGCUGUUGUAUAAAUCCAUGUCGGCAUCGACGACCCAGAAGGAAGAACUACUGUAGUUGAUGGAAGAUACAUAGUAUGUUGCAUCGUCGAUGUGAAUUGAAGCCUUCGUACCACUGCAAAUUAGCUCGUAAGAUGGAUGACCACACCCAGGUGGAUCACUUGCCUGAUGAAAUGGAGAUGACACAUUUUUGAGAGGGCCACACGAGAAAGAAGGACAAUCAGGCAAAUGAUGCCGCCCUUCGACCUGAUCUGCAGCAAGAACUACAAGCACAGACAAGAUAGUUAAGAUCUUGAGAGCAGUGCGCAUUGCCAUGGCAGACACACAGACGAGUAGAGAUGAAUGCCGAAUAAGUGAGUGGCUGCCAAAAUAAAAAAAGAACUCCAAAGAAUGGACAUCACAAGCCAACUAGUGCCUCUACAUGAACGUGAUGUUUCUGGCUAGGAGACUUGGCUACUAGCUACCAACUGAAGUUGGGUGCAUACCACCUACUGGCUCGUCUAAGUGAUGGUGAUGUUCUUGACCGGUGACCUCUUGUUGGUUUACAGAAGAGUCCUGUACUCGUCCAUUCCUCUCCUAGUCAAAUUAACAUGGAAUUCAGUGCCUUGAGAAAAUGACAAAUAACAGGGAUCAUAAAAUGGAUAAUAAGAAAAUAUCAUUCAUUGGAGAUAUUUUUUUUGAAGGCAACCGCAAUUCUCAUUAACUAUUACGGCAUGAGGGCAAAUCCCCCUCAACACAAAUUGCCACUUGGGCAUGAACAAUGUUUCCCCACUCCUCAAAGUGGUUCGGUAAAUACGUACGACCCGUACAUGCUAGUUGAUGGGCAACACUAUUAGCGUCUCGCCGGCAAAGGGAGAUCUUCUGUUGGGAAAACCAGAUCUUCAGUUGGUGUUGGGGAUAUUACCUAUUGAUAACCCGCCCUGGUUGGGCCGGGUCACCAAAUCAGGCGAUUCAUCGAAGCGUGGUUCGGGCCUUGGCCUGGCAAGACCAAAGGUUGUAUGCCGGUUUACAACUUCCGAAAGGUUUCCAAGCUUUGGAAGAUGGCGACUUAGAGAUCGUAAGGGUCACGGUUUGUAGAAAGGAAAGUACCCUUGUGAACCCUAGGGACUCGACCUGUAUAUAAAGGCGAGUCCCAGGGAAGAAGAGGGCAGGUUAGAAAUCAUCGAUUGCUAGGUCUGGCGAGUUACGCCCUCUUUGUAAUCGAAACUCCAUCAAUACAACUCAAAGCAGGACGUAUGACUUUACCUCCUCACGAGGGGCCGAACCUGGGUAAAUCGUCGUCUCUCUCCCGUUCAACCCCUUUGAGUCGCNNNNNNNNNNNNNNNNNNNNNNNNNNNNNNNNNNNNNNNNNNNNNNNNNNNNNNNNNNNNNNNNNNNNNNNNNNNNNNNNNNNNNNNNNNNNNNNNNNNNACAUCAACCGCGUUCACUAACGCUUCUGCUGUACGAUCUACAAGGGUACGUAGAUCACUCAUCCCCUCUCGUAGAUGGACAUCACCAUGAUAGGUCUUCGUGCGCGUAGGAAAAUUUUUGUUUCCCAUGCGACGUUCCCCAACAGUGGCAUCAUGAGCUGGGUUCAUGCGUAGAUGUCUUCUCAAGUAGAACACAAAAGUUUUUGUGGGCGGUGAUGUGCGUUUUGCUGCCCUCCUUAGUCUUUUCUUGAUUCCGCGGCAUUGUUGGAUCGAAGCGGCUCGGACCGACAUUACUCGUACGCUUACGAGAGACUGGUUUCAUCGCUACGAGUAACUCCGUUGCUCAAAGAUGACUCGCGGGUGUCAGUUUCUCCAACUUUAGUUGAAUCGGAAUUGACCGUGGAGGUCCUUGGAUGAGGUUAAAUAGCAACUCAUAUAUCUCCGUUGUGGUGUUUGCGUAAGUAAGAUGCGAUCCUACUAGAUACCCAUGGUCACCACGUAAAACAUGCAACAACAAAAUUACAGGACGUCUAACUUGUUUUUGCAGGGUAUGCUUGUGAUGUGAUAUGGCCAACGAUGUGAUGUGAUAUAUUGGAUGUAUGAGAUGAUCAUGUUGUAAUAGUUAAUAUCGACUUGCACGUCGAUGGUACGGCAACCGGCAGGAGCCAUAGGGUUGUCUUUAAACUAACGUUUGUGCUUGCAGAUGCGUUUACUAUUUUGCUAGGAUGUAGCUUUAGUAGUAAUACCAUGAGUAGCACGACAACCCCGAUGGCGACACGUUGAUGGAGAUCAUGAUGAUGGAGAUCAUGGUGUGACGCCGGUGACAAGAAGAUCGUGCCGGUGCUUUGGUGAUGGAGAUCAAGAAGCACAUGAUGAUGGCCAUAUCAUGUCACUUAUGAAUUGCAUGUGAUGUAAAUCCUUUUAUGCACCUUAUUUUGCUUAGAACGACGGUAGCAUUAUGAGGUGAUCUCUCACUAAAAUUUCAAGACGAAAUUGUGUUCUCCCCGACUGUGCACCGUUGCUACAGUUCGUCGUUUCGAGACACCACGUGAUGAUCGGGUGUGAUAGACUCAACGUUUACAUACAACGGGUGCAAAACAGUUGCGCACGCGGAACACUCGGGUUAAGCUUGACGAGCCUAGCAUGUGCAGACAUGGCCUCGGAACACAUGAGACCGAAAGGUCGAUCAUGAAUCAUAUAGAUGAUAUGAUUAGCAUAGGGAUGCUUACCACUGAAACUAUACUCAACUCACGUGAUGAUCGGACUUGAGCUAGUGUAAGUGGAUCAUGAACCACUCAAAUGACUAGAGAGAUGUACUUUUUGAGUGGGAGUUUAGCGAAUAAUUUGAUUAAGUUAAACUCUAAUUAUCUUGAUCAUAGUCUAAGUCCACUUUGAAUAUAUUUGUGUUGUAGAUCAUGGCUCACGCUACAGUCAUCCUGAAUUUUAAUACGUUCCUAGAGAAAGCUAAGUUGAAAGAUGAUGGAAGCAACUUUGUAGACUGGGCUCGUAAUCUUAAGCUAAUCUUACAAGCUGGGAAGAAGGAUUAUGUCCUUAAUGUUGCGCUAGGAGAUGAACCACCCGCUACGGCUGAUCAGGAUGUUAAGAACGCUUGGUUGGCACGUAAGGAGGACUACUCAAUAGUUCAAUGUGCAGUCUUGUAUGGCUUAGAACCGGGACUUCAACGUCGCUUUGAGCGUCAUGGAACAUUUGAGAUGUUCCAGGAGUUGAAGUUUAUCUUUCAGAAGAACGCCCGGGUCGAGAGGUAUGAAACCUCCGAUAAAUUCUAUGCUUGCAAGAUGGAGGAGAACUCGUCUGUCAGUGAACAUGUGCUCAAAAUGUCUGGAUACUCAAACCGUCUAGCUGAGCUGGGUAUUGAACUCCCGCAAGAGGCUAUCAUUGACAGAAUCCUUCAAUCACUGCCGCCAAGCUAUAAAGGCUUUGUGUUGAACUACAACAUGCAAGGGAUGAACAAGUCUCUCGGCGAGUUGUUUGCGAUGCUGAAAGUCGCAGAGUCUGAACUCCAUAAAGAGCAUCAAGUGUUGAUGGUGAAUAAGACCACUAGUUUCAAGAGAAACGGCAAAGGCAAGAAGGGUAAUUCAAAGAAGAGCGGCAAGCCUGUUGCCAAUCCGACGAAGAAACCCAAAGCUGGACCUAAGCCUGAAACGGAGUGUUACUAUUGCAAGGGUAUGGGUCACUGGAAGCGCAAUUGCCCCAAGUAUCUGGCAGAUAAGAAGGCGGCCAAAGAAAAAUCAGGUAUAUUUGAUAUACAUGUUAUUGAUGUGUACUUAACCGGCUCUCGUAGUAGUGCCUGGGUAUUCGAUACCGGUUCUAUUGCUCAUAUUUGCAACUCGAAACAGGAACUGCGGAAUAGACGAAGGCUGGCAAAGGAUGAAGUGACGAUGCGCGUAGGAAAUGGUUCCAAGGUUGAUGCAAUCGCCGUCGGCACAGUUUCACUUCAGUUGCCAUCAGGAUUAGUGAUGAACUUAAAUCAUUGUUAUUUAGUGUCUGCGUUGAGCAUGAACAUUAUAUCUGGAUCUUGUUUAUUGCGAGACGGUUACUCUUUUAAGUCAGAGAAUAAUGGUUGUUCUAUUUCUAUGAGUAACAUCUUUUAUGGUCAUGCACCUAAUGUGAGAGGAUUGUUCAUAUUGAAUCUUGAUAGCGAUACGCAUAUACAUAACAUUGAGACCAAAAGAGUUAGAGUUAACAAUGAUAGCGCCAUAUUUUUGUGGCACUGCCGCUUAGGUCAUAUUGGUGUAAAGCGCAUGAAGAAACUCCAUGCUGAUGGACUUUUGGAGUCACUUGACUUUGAUUCACUUGACACGUGCGAACCAUGCCUCAUGGGCAAGAUGACUAAGACUCCGUUCUCCGGAACAAUGGAGCGUGCAAGUGACUUGUUGGAAAUCAUACAUACCGAUGUGUGUGGUCCGAUGAGCGUGGAGGCACGCGGCGGAUAUCGUUAUUUUCUCACCUUCACUGACGAUUUGAGUAGAUAUGGUUAUGUCUACUUGAUGAAGCACAAGUCUGAAACAUUUGAAAGGUUCAAGCAAUUUCAGAGUGAAGUUGAAAAUCAUCGUAACAAGAAGAUCAAGUUCCUACGGUCUGAUCGUGGGGGUGACUAUCUGAGUUUCGAGUUUGGUGCUCACUUAAGACAAUGUGGAAUUGUUUCACAGUUAACACCGCCUGGAACACCACAGCGUAAUGGUGUGUCCGAACGUCGUAAUCGUACUUUAUUAGAGAUGGUGCGAUCUAUGAUGUCUCUUACCGAUUUGCCGUUAUCGUUUUGGGGUUAUGCAUUAGAAACAGCUGCAUUCACUUUAAAUAGGGCACCAUCAAAAUCCGUUGAGACGACACCAUACGAACUGUGGUAUGGCAAAAGGCCAAAGUUGUCGUUUCUUAAAGUUUGGGGAUGUGAUGCUUAUGUCAAAAAGCUUCAGCCUGAAAAGCUGGAACCCAAAGCGGAAAAGUGCGUCUUCAUAGGUUACCCAAAAGAGACAGUUGGGUACACCUUCUAUCUCAAAUCCGAGGGCAAAGUGUUUGUUGCUAAAAACGGAGCUUUUCUCGAGAAGGAGUUUCUCUCGAGAGAAUUGAGUGGGAGGAAGAUAGAACUUGACGAGGUUGUCGAACCUCUCAUCCCUCUGGAUGGUGGCGCAGGGCAAGGGGAAACCUCUGUCGUUGCGACGCCGGUUGAAGAGGAAGUUAAUGAUGAUGAUCAUGAAACUCCGGUUCAAGUUUCUGUCAAACCACGCAGGUCGACGAGACCACGUGCUGCUCCAGAGUGGUACGGUAAUCCUGUCUUAUCAAUCAUGUUGUUAGACAACAAUGAACCUGCAAAUUAUGAAGAAGCAAUGGUGGGCCCAGAUUCCAACAAAUGGCUAGAAGCCAUGAAGUCCGAGAUAGGAUCCAUGUAUGAGAACAAAGUGUGGACUUUGGAGGUACUACCUGAGGGCCGCAAGGCUAUUCAGAACAAAUGGAUUUUUAAGAGGAAGACGGACGCUGACGGCAAUGUGACCGUUUAUAAAGCUCGACUUGUGGCAAAGGGUUUUUCACAAGUUCAAGGAGUUGACUACGAUGAGACAUUCUCACCCGUAGCGAUGCUUAAGUCCGUCAGAAUCAUGUUAGCAAUAGCUGCAUUUUUCGAUUAUGAAAUCUGGCAGAUGGAUGUCAAAACGGCGUUCCUUAACGGUUUCCUUAAGGAAGAGUUGUAUAUGAUACAACCCGAAGGUUUUGUCGAUCAUAAGAAUGCUAACAAGGUGUGCAAGCUCCAGCGAUCCAUUUAUGGACUGGUGCAAGCAUCUCGGAGUUGGAACAAACGCUUUGAUGAGGUGAUCAAAGCAUUUGGGUUUAUACAAGUGGUUGGAGAAUCUUGUAUUUACAAGAAAGUGAGUGGGAGCUCUGUGGCGUUUCUAAUAUUAUAUGUGGAUGACAUAUUGCUGAUUGGAAACAACGUGGAGUUUUUAGAGAGCAUAAAGGAUUACUUGAAUAUGAGUUUCUCUAUGAAGGACCUAGGAGAAGCUGCUUACAUUCUAGGCAUUAAGAUCUAUAGGGAUAGAUCAAAACGCCUGAUAGGACUUUCACAAAGCACAUACCUUGAUAAAGUUUUGAAGAGGUUCAAAGUGGAACAGUCCAAGAAAGGGUUCUUGCCAGUUUUACAAGGUACGAGAUUGAGUAAGACUCAGUGCCCAGCAACUGAUGAAGAUAGAGAGCAUAUGCGCUCCGUCCCCUAUGCUUCAGCCAUAGGUUCUAUCAUGUAUGCAAUGUUGUGCACAAGACCGGAUGUUAGCCUGGCCAUAAGUAUGGCAGGUAGGUUCUAGAGUAAUCCAGGAGUGGAUCACUGGACAGCGGUCAAGAAUAUCCUGAAGUACCUGAAAAGGACUAAGGAUAUGUUUCUCGUGUAUGGAGGUGACGAAGAGCUCGCCGUAAAAGGUUACGUCGAUGCAAGCUUUGACACAGAUCCGGACGACUCUAAGUCGCAAACCGGAUACGUAUUUAUUUUUAAUGGGGGUGCGGUAAGCUGGUGCAGUUCCAAGCAAAGCGUCGUAGCAGAUUCUACAUGUGAAGCGGAGUACAUGGCUGCCUCGGAGGCGGCUAAGGAGGGUGUCUGGAUGAAGCAGUUCAUGAGGAUCUUGGAGUGGUACCAAGCGCACUGAAUCCAAUAACCUUGUUCUGUGACAACACGGGUGCCAUUGCCUUAGCAAAGGAACCACGGUUUCACAAGAAGACCAGACACAUCAAACGACGCUUCAACCUCAUCCGCGACUACGUCGAGGGAGAAGACGUAAAUAUAUGCAAAGUGCACACGGAUCUGAAUGUAGCAGACCCGCUGACUAAACCUCUUCCACGGCCAAAGCAUGAUCAACACCAGAACUGUAUGGGUGUUAGAUUUAUUACAAUGUAAUUCACAUGAUGAUGUGAGGGCUAGAUUAUUGACUCUAGUGCAAGUGGGAGACUGUUGGAGUUAUGCCCUAGAGGCAAUAAUAAAUAUAGUUAUUAUUAUAAUUCCUGUAUCAAGAUAAUCGUUUAUUAUCCAUGCUAUAAUUGUAUUGAAUGAAGACUCAUUUACAUGUGUGGAUACAUAGACAAAACACCGUCCCUAGCAAGCCUCUAGUUGGCUAGCGAGUUGAUCAAAGAUAGUCAGUGUCUUCUGAUUAUGAACAAAGUGUUGUUGCUUGAUAACUGGAUCACGUCAUUAGGAGAAUCACGUGAUGGACUAGACCCAAACUAAUAGACGUAGCAUGUUGAUCGUGUCAUUUUGUUGCUACUGUUUUCUGCGUGUCAAGUAUUUAUUCCUAUGACCAUGAGAUCAUAUAACUCACUGACACCGGAGGAAUGCUUUGCGUGCAUCAAACGUCGCAACGUAACUGGGUGACUAUAAAGAUGCUCUACAGGUAUCUCCGAAGGUGUUCGUUGAGUUAGUAUGGAUCAAGACUGGGAUUUGUCACUCCGUGUGACGGAGAGGUAUCUCGGGGCCCACUCGGUAAUACAACAUCACACUCAAGCCUUGCAAGCAAUGUAACUUAGUGUAAGUUGGGGGAUCUUGUAUUGCGGAACGAGUAAAGAGACUUGCCGGUAAACGAGAUUGAAAUAGGUAUGCGGAUACUGACGAUCGAAUCUCGGGCAAGUAACAUACCGAAGGACAAAGGGAAUGACAUACGGGAUUAUAUGAAUCCUUGCCACUGAGGUUCAAACGAUAAGAUCUUCGUAGAAUAUGUAGGAUCCAAUAUGGGCAUCCAGGUCCCGCUAUUGGAUAUUGACCGAGGAGUCUCUCGGGUCAUGUCUACAUAGUUCUCGAACCCGCAGGGUCUGCACACUUAAGGUUCGACGUUGUUUUAUGCGUAUUUGAGUUAUAUGGUUGGUUACCGAAUGUUGUUCGGAGUCCCGGAUGAGAUCACGGACGUCACGAGGGUUUCCGAAAUGGUCCGGAAACGAAGAUUGAUAUAUAGGAUGACCUCAUUUGAUUACCGGAAGGUUUUCGGAGUUACCGGGAAUGUACCGGGAAUGACGAAUGGGUUCCGGGAGUUCACCGAGGGGGACAACCCACCCUGGGGAAGCCCAUAGACCUUGAGGGUGGCACACCAUCCCUUAGUGGGCUGGUGGGACAGCCCAAAAGGGCCCUAUGCGCCUAGGAAAGAAAAUCAAAGAGAAAAGAAAAGAAAAAAGGAGGUGGGAAGGGAAGGAAGGACUCCCACCCACCAAACCAAGUCCAACUCGGUUUGGGGGGGAGCCUUCCCCCUUGGACUCGGCCGACCCCCUUGGGGCUCCUUGAGCCCGAAGGCAAGGUCCCCUCCCUCCCACCUAUAUAUACGGAGGUUUUAGGGCUUAUUUGGGACGACUUUUCCACGGCAGCCCGACCACAUACCUCCACGGUUUUUCCUCUAGAUCGCGUUUCUGCAGAGCUCGGGCGGAGCCCUGCUGAGACAAGGUCAUCACCAACCUCCGGAGCGCCGUCACGCUGCCGGAGAACUCUUCUACCUCUCCGUCUCUCUUGCUGGAUCAAGAAGGCCGAGAUCAUCGUCGAGCUGUACGUGUGCUGAACGCGGAGGUGCCGUCCGUUCGGUACUAGAUCGUGGGACUGAUCGCGGGAUUGUUCGCGGGGCGGAUCGAGGGACGUGAGGACGUUCCACUACAUCAACCGCGUUCACUAACGCUUCUGCUGUACGAUCUACAAGGGUACGUAGAUCAGUCAUCCCCUCUCGUAGAUGGACAUCACCAUGAUAGGUCUUCGUGCGCGUAGGAAAAUUUUUGUUUCCCAUGCGACGUUCCCCAACAAUUUUAACAUCAAUUCACCGUAAUUUUACGUUUCAUAAUUUUUGUCUUAUUUUAUACGUAAAAAGAGACCAUAAAAUAAUAUAAUCAAUGUAAAAAAAAUUAUGUCACAUAAAACUACGUACAUACAAAACUAGUGCAAAAAAUACAAUAAAUUCAAUUUUUUCUGGUCUUGUGAUCUAUAUUUUUGUUUUCCUUUUAUCAAAUUUUACGUAGUGAUUCAAUAUAAAUGUAACUAUUUGUAUUUAAAAUUUAAUUUAUUUGUAAAUUGAUCGUAAGAUUAUCUCGGGUGAAGAAUAAACUAUUCUGCGUCCUGGGUGAUGAAUAGAGUUUCUAUAUAUAUAUAUAUAUAUAUAUAUAUAUGACAAAUUAUAUCUGNNNNNNNNNNNNNNNNNNNNNNNNNNNNNNNNNNNNNNNNNNNNNNNNNNNNNNNNNNNNNNNNNNNNNNNNNNNNNNNNNNNNNNNNNNNNNNNNNNNNGAAUUCUAGCCAAGUAACCACAAGAAAGCUCGAGAUACUCCAUUGAAUAAGAUCCAUAACCAGUUAACACAUAAAAUAAGUAUGAUUUGUGCUAAGGCAAGCAACAGGCAUGUACAUACCAUUGUCCUUUACUUCCCGAGAGCAUGUAAGAAAGCAAGCCUUAUUAUAUGAAAGGGGUUCCAAUUCGACUUCCAUGUGGUUCUGGUAUCUGAACGGAGGCCGAUUCCACCGAGGUAGAGGGCAGCUGUUGUAUAAAUCCAUGUCGGCAUCGACGACCCAGAAGGAAGAACUACUGUAGUUGAUGGAAGAUACAUAGUAUGUUGCAUCGUCGAUGUGAAUUGAAGCCUUCGUACCACUGCAAAUUAGCUCGUAAGAUGGAUAACCACACCCAGGUGGAUCACUUGCCUGACGAAAUGGAGAUGACACAUUUCUGAGAGGGCCACACGAGAAAGAAGGACAAUCAGGCAAAUGAUGCCGCCCUUCGACCUGAUCUGCAGCAAGAACUACAAGCACAGACGAGAUAGUUAAGAUCUUGAGAGCAGUGCGCAUUGCCAUGGCAGACACACAGACGAGUAGAGAUGAAUGGCCGAAUAAGUGAGUGGCUGCCAAAAUAAA
rnacentral:lncRNA from 1 species